rnacentral:rRNA from 1 species
AUUUGAUCUCAAAUAAGGUAGGACUACCCGCUGAACUUAAGCAUA